ACGGAGGGUGCGAGCGUUAAUCGGAAUUACUGGGCGUAAAGCGCGCGUAGGCGGUUUGAUAAGCUGGAUGUGAAAGCCCCGGGCUCAACCUGGGAACUGCAUCCAGAACUGUCUGACUAGAAUACAAUAGAGGUGAGUGGAAUUUCCUGUGUAGCGGUGAAAUGCGUAGAUAUAGGAAGGAACAUCAGUGGCGAAGGCGACUCACUGGAUUGAUAUUGACGCUGAGGUGCGAAAGCGUGGGGAGCGAACAGG
rnacentral:rRNA from 1 species